rnacentral:rRNA from 1 species
ACGCUCGACACCUACGGGAGGCGGCAGUGGGGAAUAUUGCACAAUGGGGGAAACCCUGAUGCAGCGACGCCGCGUGAAGGAAGAAGUAUUUCGGUAUGUAAACUUCUAUCAGCAGGGAAGAAAAUGACGGUACCUGACUAAGAAGCCCCGGCUAACUACGUGCCAGCACGCCGGCGGUAAUCUGAGGCGGGCGUGGCAAGGC